GUCAGAGGCUUCUUUGGCAACCUGGAAUGAGAAUUGUAUUUGAAAAAUUUUAAUGAGCAGAAUAAUAACAGAGUGCAAUAUUGAAUUACAUAGUGUAGAAAAAUAACCAAAAUAAUUUAACAUGCAAUAUAUACAUACAUUUGUAAAGUUAACCGUCUAUACCUAUAUCAACAUGGGUAUUAAAAAGAGAUGUACACUAACAUGUGCUCAAUCUGUGUUCCGUGCUAGCAACAUCACUAGUAACUUGAGAAGAAGUCAUAUGGAUACACUUAAUAAAGGCAGGCCAAUAUGCAUUUGCAUGCAGAUAUGUGCAUCUUUGGUAACUUGUUUGAAGUCCA
rnacentral:misc_RNA from 1 species